AUGGACGAAAGUCUGACGAGCACGCCGCGUGAGUGAAGAAGGUUUUCGGAUCGUAAAACUCUGUUGGUAGAGAAGAACGUUGGUGAGAGUGGAAAGCUCAUCAAGUGACGGUAACUACCCAGAAAGGGACGGCUAACUACGUGCCAGCAGCCGCGGUAAUACC
rnacentral:rRNA from 1 species